rnacentral:rRNA from 1 species
GAUGAACGCUGGCGGCGUGCCUAAUACAUGCGAGUCGAGCGAACAGACGAGGAGCUUGCUCCUCUGACGUUAGCGGCGGACGGGUGAGUAACACGUGGAUAACCUACCUAUAAGACUGGGAUAACUUCGGGAAACCGGAGCUAAUACCGGAUAAUAUAUUGAACCGCAUGGUUCAAUAGUGAAAGACGGUUUUGCUGUCACUUAUAGAUGGAUCCGCGCCGCAUUAGCUAGUUGGUAAGGUAACGGCUUACCAAGGCAACGAUGCGUAGCCGACCUGAGAGGGCGAUCGGCCACACUGGAACUGAGACACGGUCCAGACUCCUACGGGAGGCAGCAGUAGGGAAUCUUCCGCAAUGGGCGAAAGCCUGACGGAGCAACGCCGCGUGAGUGAUGAAGGUCUUCGGAUCGUAAAACUCUGUUAUUAGGGAAGAACAAAUGUGUAAGUAACUAUGCACGUCUUGACGGUACCUAAUCAGAAAGCCACGGCUAACUACGUG